rnacentral:rRNA from 1 species
AACGAACGCUGGCGGCGUGCCUAAUACAUGCAAGUAGAACGCAGAUGGGAACGGGGGAGUAACGCGUAGGUAACUGCCCCAUAGCGGGGGGUAACUAUCGGGAACGAGAGCUAAUACCGGAAUCUGUGAGAUUGACCUGCGUUGUAUUAGCUAGUUGGUGCGGUAAAGGCUCACCAAGGCGACGAUACAUAGCCGGCCUGAGAGGGUGAGCGGCCACACUGGGACUGAGACACGGCCCAGACUCCGUCGGGAGGCAGCAGUAGGGAAUCUUCGGCAAUGGAAGGAAGUCUGACCGAGCAACGCCGCGUGAGUGAAGAGGGUCUUCGGGUUGUAAAGCUCUGUUGGUAGAGAAGCGGUAACUAACAAGAAAGCGACGGCUAACUACGUGCCAGCAGCCGCGGUAAUAC